CUUUAACAACACCAUUCACAUUAACCUUGAAAAACCAUUCAUUCAUUACCUGUGAAAGAUCACCAGCCAAAGCUGUGCUAAAUAUGUAAAGCCCAUAUAGCAAAUGCACCACCGUGCUUACAAACAGCUCUGUUAAUUGCAGAGCAGAUGUCCACCACCUUAUCAUUGUUUUCCUUUCCAGCCUACAAAAAUGAAGAAAAGUAAUUCAAAGCAGAAAGAGCCUUCUUCAAAGGAGUAAAAAACACCCUCCACACACACACAAAAGAAGGCCCCUCCUCCUCCUCCUCUUUCAAGAUCAAAACUCUCUCAUCAAACCCUUCUAUGAUUCAUAAAAACCAUAGAAAGAAGGAAGUUGAUGUUGUUGUUGUCGUCUUGUAUAUUUAUGUUUGUUCAAAUUUGGAACAAUGAUGAGUAUUAGUUUCCCACAAUUUUCUCAUUUCCUACCUCACCUCCAAAAAGUCUAAACCAAUCCCACAACUCUCUUACUGCUCACACAUCCAUAAACAUUUAAAAACUUUGGUUUGGGUUGGUGCCAUGUGUCUUGGUCAUAACAUCCACCACAAAAACAUACACAUAAUCUAGGGUAGGACCCACUAAAGAUGGCAAGAAAGUAAUUCCAAAAAUUUAGCCUCUGUAUUAGUGUUAACACACUUUUGUUAUUGGCGAUGAAGUUCUGAAAUGGGGAUUUCAGGGAUUCUUUAUUAUUAUCAUCAUCACCUUGUUUUAUUGAGGAUUUCAUGUUUUUUUUUUCUAGGGCUGUUGUUGUG
rnacentral:lncRNA from 1 species